rnacentral:misc_RNA from 1 species
GAUGAAGAACGUAGCGAAAUGCGAUAAGUAAUGUGAAUUGCAGAAUUCAGUGAAUCAUCGAAUCUUUGAACGCACAUUGCGCCCGCCAGUAUUCUGGCGGGCAUGCCUGUUCGAGCGUCAUUACAACCCUCAGGCCCCCGGGCCUGGCGUUGGGGAUCGGCGGAGCCCCCCGUGGGCACACGCCGUCCCCCAAAUGCAGUGGCGGUCCCGCCGCAGCUUCCAUCGCGUAGUAGCUAACACCUCGCGACUGGAGAGCGGCGCGGCCACGCCGUAAAACACCCAACUCUUCUGAAGUUGACCUCGGAUCAGGUAGGAAUACCCGCUGAACUUAAGCAUAUCAAUAAGCGGAGGA